UGAACCGGAGCCCACCCAUUCCUCCCCAACCUCCGCGUUUCCUCCUCUGCCCCGAUUCACCUGCCGCCAUGAGCACACCAUGCGCCGCCCACACCGCCGCUCCCGGCCACCGCGCCACCCCACCCCGGAUCCGGCCGUCGCAGCGCCCCCACCCACGGAUCUUGCCGUCGCACCAGCCCGCUCCAACCCCAGCUUUCGGCCACGCGCACGACCCCAUCUAGCGGCGCCACCGCACCGGCCACCAACCAACCUCCGCUCGUCGGGAUAUUGCGGCUGCGCCACAGCCACCCACACGCGUCGCAAGACGCCGGGACCCUGCCACCGCGCGACCUUCCUCCACCUUCCACUGCGACCUUCCUCCACAUGCCACCACGACCUUCUCCCUUCCGCCGUGCGCCAUCGCCUCCGGCGGUUCUGCCUGCAUCACCUCCACCUUCCACUGCCAGCCCCCAUGCGCGGCUCCCUCCAGUUUCCUCCGCGCCCGCCUCCACCUGAACUUCCCCCAUCCCCGCUUCCUCCAGCCCCGACGUCCCCGGUGUCGGCCACGUGCAUCACCCCCAGCCACGCACCUCGUCGGCGAGUGGAGCUCCCGCGCGCUGCCGCGUGGAUGCAGUUACCACUGCCUCCCGGCACGCAGAUCGAGCCAUGGCCGGCGAGGUCGACCACGGCCGCGGCCUGAGCGCCCAUCCAUUCCUCCCCUGCAGCUCCCCCUCCUUCCUCGACGUCGUCACCUGUUGUUGCUUCGACGCCACGAGCUGACCCGUCUCAGGCCGGCGUCCCUGCGCCCCGCCGCUGACCAGCACGAAGAAGCCAGCACACAAUGGUGUCAGCACUGCGGAGGCCGGGAGCUCGCCUGCCUUGAAGAUGAUCUGAAGGACUAUAGCACAAUAUCGUGAAGAGACUGUAAUUGUCGCACGUUCAUAAAGCCCUUGACUCAAGGAUCAAAGAGAAACUAGUUGUUUAAAUAGAGGUGGAGGAAUAUGUGUGUCGAUGCAUGAUUUGAGGCAAGAUCUUUCUUUGUCACUUUGAUCUUCGAAGCAGGGCACUGACGGAUUACUUAUUUACUUCUCUAAACUUAUCAAACAACUGCUACAGGUCCAGUGAUGUAUCGCUGCAGCUCCCGGCGGUCAAUGGUGUUGUUGCGGUGCGGUUGGCUUCACAAUGCACGGCUGAGAGAAGGCAACUAUGCUGACCGGCAAACUGAAUCAGAGGACCGCCGUCAUGGCUCUUCUGGCAUCGGUGCGGUAUUUUUUGGAUUAAUAACUUAAAUAAGGGAGAUGGCAGACUACGUAACAUCAUGAAGGGACAAAAAUCGAGAGAGCCUUAUAUACAUUGAAAAAGACAAUAGAUUUUGAUGUCUGAUGUUGGUUCCUUCCCCCUGUCCUAAAAUUGUAUCCAGAUCAAAUCACUGAUUCGUUUCCCUGUCCAGUUUUGUAUUUUUCUCUAAGUGAUUUUGAUGUCUGAAGUUCAACUGUAUAUGUAGGUGAAAAAACUGGUGUUUUGUCUCAUUGGUUUCAGUUUCACCGACUGGUUUUCUUCCCA